CUGUGCGCGUGGGGGCGCUUCACGGAGCGAGCUUAUGGGGAGCCUGUGGAGGGAUGAUGCGCUGCUGAGGCCGGGAGCGCCCGUGGCUUCGCUGAGGGCGUGUCUGUGUUAAAGCUUUCCUGAGAACUGGUAGCGGUACGGCAUUUGUGCAAACCAGCCUCAGUUGCACGCCACACAUGCCCAAGCAACCGCGUAGCCGACUGUAAAGACGCGAUGAAGCAAACUUCAAAAGCUUUUAAUUCCUUUUUUCCUAAGUAAACGCUCCUUGCAGCGGCGGACUGUUGUAGCGAGCAGCGUUCCUCUCACGCUGCGGUGUUUACAUAAGCUGUGAACCAAACUGAGGGGUAAAGAACGGUGAAGACAUAGACAGGUAUGAUUAAGGCCAUUGGAAAACUGGAUCCUGCAAAUUAACUAGAAGACGAAGCACUGAUUUUCAGGUCACUCAGCGGUGAAAGGUAACUACCCACCCCAUCUGCAGAACUGAUGGUGCCAGCUCAAAUGAUUAAAUGCCUUCAUUGUUCCAUCCAUGCUGAAUGCAGGUGGAACACUGUAAAAAUAGGUGCACAGAUCUGAAAGACUUGAGGCAGUUCUGUUCAUAUAGUUGCAAACCUCAUCUCUAUGUAUAAAUUUCUAUGUGACUGACAGUCUUAUUAAUGGAACUUGGUAACAAGCAGCUUCCUCAUGUCCCUUUAUAUCUACAGCAGACUUGAGAUAAGGAGAAAUCUGAAGAAUACAGCACAAUUUUGUCCACUGAUACAUAACAUUUGCAUUUCAGAUGAGCACUUAUAAUGAAUGAUUCUUGCGAAGAAACGCUAAGAGGAGUCAACUACUUAGCUUGGCUACUGCCAGACCUUCAAAUAAAGACCUGGAGGGUCAGAUUAUUUAUUCAUCUUAUUCUGCUGGCUU